AAACCAUGAUGAGGACAUUGAAGAAACAAGUCCUUAUAUCGCUCCCAACUUUCAUGAAACUGUUCACCUUCUUGUUGCCGAAAGCUCAUGAUUUCAUUGAUCAGAGC